rnacentral:tRNA from 12 species
UCCUCCGUAGUUCAGUCGGUAGAACGGCGGACUGUUAAUCCGUAUGUCACUGGUUCGAGUCCAGUCGGAGGAGCCA